UCCUCCUCUCGGCUCCGUUUUGUUCCUAUCACCAGCAAUACCGUCCUUCACCAUUAUCACCACCAGCAAAACCCUCAUCCACCAUUAUCACCGCCAGCAAAACCAUCACCACCAAUUUUAUAAGAAGCUGCUGGUGCUCCCGAUCUGCUUGCUGACGGAGUUAGGGUUUGGAUUUGAAGUGAUAUUUAGGGAUUGAGCUCAAUUUGAGAACAACAAGAAAGAAAACAGCGGUCCUGUUGUAUAUGAGCAAUUGGGUGCUGAUGGCUUGUCAAAGGUGCAGUCGUGAAUUGAGCAGUGGAUGGAAGAGAUUAGACAUGGGUUUCUGCUAUAAAUGGGUUUGAAUGGUUUACAUGGUCGACGGUGGUGAAUGAAUGGGAUUGAGUUGGUGGUACUGUUGAUGUCAAGAAAUGAAGAAAGUGGAUAAUUUGGAGUGGGAUUUGGAGUUGAGAUAAUGAUUAUUAAGGUGGCGGAUGCAGCUAAUGCAUGAAUCAGUGGUAAUGAUUGUUGUUAGUUGGAAGAAGAAGAAAAUAGUGGUGUUCAAAUUAGUUGCAGAUGCAGUGUUGGUACUUGGUAAUGUUAAGUACUGCUGAUGUACAUGGAAUAGGAGCAUGAUGCAGUGGUUUGGGAACAAGCAGCAACACUGUUAAAUGAGUCUAGCAAAUGAAGCUAAAAACAAAUUGUUAAUAAUUUUGAAGCUAAGUAGAAUAAUGGCUUGAAGAUGUUAAUGCUGAUAGAUGAAUGGAAUGGUUUGAGUUCUUUGAGUUGAUGCAGCAGGAGCAUCAGUUGGUGGUGCAGUGGUGUUAAUUGUUAGUUAGUUGAUUUUAACCUAGCAUUGAGUUUUAAGAAUGUGAAUUUGGGUUUUGGAUAAUUUUUUGAUUUGUGUUUAUUACUUUCACUUUGUUCCUUCGUUUAGUUGAUUGGGUUAUGUUUGAUUUUUC